rnacentral:rRNA from 1 species
GACGAACGCUGGCGGCGUGCCUAAUACAUGCAAGUAGAACGCUGAAGGAGGAGCUUGCUUCUCUGGAUGAGUUGCGAACGGGUGAGUAACGCGUAGGUAACCUGCCUGGUAGCGGGGGAUAACUAUUGGAAACGAUAGCUAAUACCGCAUAAGAUUGACUAUUGCAUGAUAGUCAGUUAAAAGGUGCAAUUGCAUCACUACCAGAUGGACCUGCGUUGUAUUAGCUAGUUGGUGGGGUAACGGCUCACCAAGGCGACGAUACAUAGCCGACCUGAGAGGGGGGUCGGCCAACCCGGGACUGAGACCGGGCCCAACCCCCUACGGGGGGCAACAGUAGGGAAUCUUGGGCAAUGGACGGAAGUCUGACCGAGCAACGCCGCGGGAGUGAAGAAGGUUUUCGGAUCGUAAAGCUCUUUUGUAAGAGAAGAACGAGUGGGGGAGUGGAAAGUUCACACUGUGACGGUAUCGUACCAGAAAGGGACGGCUAACUACGU